AGGAUUCUCUUAGCUUAGAGGCAUUCCGAGUCAUUCAAACAAGGGGGAUUUGUUCAACAAAAAGAUAUAUAUACAUCAACGUGAGAAGAAAUCUCACAAACUUGAGGGUAGCUCUUGCUCUUCACAGAGGGAGUGUUUGUCAUAGACACCAUCUGCAAUAAAGACUAAAUAAUAAAUUAAGAAACUUAAAAGGUAGAAGUAGUGUCAGUUGGCCCAAUUUUUUUUUCUGUAAAAAAAUAAAUCGUUUAUGAACGAGGCCACUAUAAUUUUUAAAAAAUUGAUGAUUUUUUAACUCAAAUAAAAUUUAAAUAAAUCUAUCACUAUAUAUACUAGUGAUAAAGAUGACUUUAACUUGAAGUUUUUUUUUUUUUUUUGCAAUUAUUAACGGUUUCGGUUCCUAUACUAAUUGUGAGAGUAGUUUCAUUUAACUUCUUCAAAAUUCAAGUAUAUUUUUGAAACUUUUCACUAGUUCAAAGGUAUUUCUUAAAUAAAACUUUAACGGUAUUCAUUCAAAAUUAAACUAACAAUAAAGGUGUUUUUGAGCCAUUUUUGAAAGUUUGAGGAUGUCUCUAAAACUUUUGAAAGUUUAGAGGUAUGUUUAACACAAAACAUAAUGUCGGGGGAUUUUUUUUUAUAAUUUAGCCAAGAAAAAUUACCUCUAUCGAAUUGUUAUCCAUACUUAGAGAUUUUAUGCAUAUACACCUAUAUAAGUAUAAGAUAUUAAUUAGGUUUAGAAGAGUGAACAAAUUUCUUCUUAUUUAUAUUUAUAAUUAUAUCCACGUACAUGCCAAAAUUUCCUAUCUCUCAUCACUUUGUUAUGAUAUUUUUUUCAAGAGAGAACUAUGGAUGCCAAAAAAAAGGGAUCAAAUGUAAAAUUGGUUUUAUGAUGAAAAUUCGUCUGAGUGCCUGCAAAACAAAAGAGAGUAAGCAUGGGUGUGGUGUCUAACCACACACUUCAAUUCUCAAGUCAAUCUAGUGUUUCAAAGUAGUAGCUAGACAAUAGAGGAAAUAGUGAAUAUUCAGGCAUAUUUGGACGUAUUCGGACAUAUCUUCAACUAGUGGCCUUGGUUGCUUAUAUAAUAUAGUGAUUUGUAACCUACGCUUGGAUCAUAAUUGCACCUCUUGAGCUUCCACAAUCAUUGAACUGAUAGUCAAUAGUUGGUUUCACUACCAUGGCAAAUCCAUUGAAUGCUCCUACCGACUCCCUUUAUGACACUUGUUUCUUCAGAAUUCGAACAAUUUCACAUUCAAUGGCUUAGAGGUCUUCCUUUGUGGGUCUUCUGAGCUCUUAUUUGGAACUACCCUAGGAGUACUUUUCCUUGUGGGUCCUCCUCCUCUUAGGAAGUUAAGCUAUUCUUAGUGGGUUCUCCUUUAGUGAGCUUUUCUAAGGAGACUAGUCUCUCCAUAGUGGGUCCUCCUCCUGUGAGCUUUUCUUAGGAGGUUAAGCUCUCCCUUGUGGAUCCUCUUCCUAUGGCUCUUCAUAUGAGACUUCUCUCUUAGGUUUCAUUAAGCUCGUCUUGAUCUUUCUCUUAGCUCUUGUGAACUUAUUUCUCUUGAAUUGGUGCUCUUAAGCUCACCUCAUAAGUCCACCGAGCUGCCACUAAGCUCACUUAGGCUCACCUCAUGGGUCCACCAAACUACCACUAAGCUUGCUUAUGUUCUCUUUGAAUAGACUAAAAUUCACCCACAACAAGAAUGAAAAGAGAAAAAUAUUUGUUUUGUGUAUUUGCUCACUAACGAUAGUUUUGAUACAAAUGGACAUUUUAAAAAUAUAUUUAUCUAUUAAGAUAUUAAAAGUAUUAUGAUGUUUUAUAUAUUAGGGAGUCAGAUUGUUAUUUAAUAUGUAUUGUUUAUUUUAUGUAGGUUCACCUAAUUGCUCUAAUUUAUUGUUUCUCAUAUGUAACAUUUGACAAGAACGUGAAUUCUAUAUCUCCAUUUCCUCUUUAUUUGGAUAUGAUCAAUAUAACAAUAUCAAAAUGUUAAACAAAAAAUAUCAUUUAUAUUUUAUUUUCACCAUAAUACGUACUAUAGAAAUUGAGAGUAAGAUGAACAACUCAUAAAACUAAAAACAAGAAAGAAGAUGGUAACCUUCCUAUGAACAUAAUACGUACCGUAGAAAUUGAGAGCAAGUUGCUCUUGAGAUCAUUUUUAGUCUUUUGGUUAUGAUAGAAAUAAACAUGUAGGUAAGGUAUACAUUAAGCGGGUAAAACAUAAAUGAGUUAUGAGGGGGUCGUUUGGUGUCACAAUUGUAGCCUUCCAACCUUGACACAAAUGAUUGUGCGACACUUGUUCGAACUUGAUGAACAAGUUAACCGAUUGAAAUCUGAAAACUGCGGACAAACUCACGGUAUGAAAAACCUCCCAUUACGUUUUUAAGAAUUUUUUUUAGAAAAUGUGAGAGAAAAAAUUCAUUGAAAUCGGCGUUAUGAUAUACAUUGAAGACUUUCAGUUGCAAGGGAAAAUGUUUGCUUGCAAAGAGUGCGACAAUGCUUGGGCAGUGAAUCAAUUAAUAUGUCUCCCCUAUAGUACAUUUUAAACAUUUUCAGCUCUGGUAGACUUGCAUAUAAAAAUGUCAAAAUGUCACACCCAAGCUUUAUGACUUAAAAUGGAAAACAACUAGCUAAACUAAAUACAAGAUAAGAUAAAUUUGGGGUAUUCGGGCAUACAGCCAUAGGCAAACACGCCCUAGACAUGUAUGAUCGUGAUAUUCUGCCCAACUUAAAUAGUAAACGUUCUUGUCGACUAGCAAAGCUAGAAUUCUUUGAUCUUCUGCUUCCAUGCUUCGAGGUCUUUGGUACGCCUCAACUUGUUUCUUCCAGGGGGAGGUUCUUCCACUUUACUAGGAAUUCAUGUACCCUCCUCGUGGGUCUUCUACGUUUCCUCACUCUCUCAGUAAGGAUUUCUUCCACUUCUGCUAGUUCAUCGUAUCUUUCCACGGGGUGGUGGUCUUUCUUUAUUCAAAAUCGAGUCUGUUCAGGUCUCACUUUAACAAGGACCUGAUCUCCCGCAUGAAAGUCCAGAGGGGACGCUUCUUAUCUGUCCACUUUUUUAGCCGCGUGAGGCUUCUUCUAGACAGGCUCGAGCAACAUCUGAUUUUUGCUUCCACUUAUUGGUAAUGUUGUGAGUCUGAGGACUCUUCUCAGCAUAGGGGGAUCAACAAGGCAUGAGAAUAUAGGUUGUUCAUCACAAACAAUCUUGAACGAGCUUUUACCAGUUGAUGAACCCAUCAUAGCGUUAAUGCAAAAUCGGGUUACCUUGAACAGCUGAAUCCCAUUCUUUGGUUGUGUCUUACCGGCCUAGCCAAACUCACACCAUCUUGAGCGAAAGAGUUUUUUUGCAAGGAUUCUUUUGACGCGUCCCGCAUUGGGCCAUCAACUUGACAUCCAUGUAUACGAGCCAACAUGCAUAGAAUCACAUGGUCAUUUCUCUGACUAAGGGCACCAACUACCCGAUUACACACUCCUUUCCUAUGUUUCGAUAAAAAAUCAAGUUCAAGCAGGUCUUUCUGCCACCUUCCUUGACUUGAAGUUAGUUUUGGCUAAGUACUAAAGUGGUCGAUAACAAUGUUGCUCGUCUUUCCAAUGUAAGUAGAUCUCCAUGAAUACCGUUGCCAAACUCUCAGAUAGUGUACCGUGGCAAGUGUUUCUUCUUCAAACACCAUGUAACUCUUUUCUACGGUACUCGACUUUCGACUCUCAGAUGCGAUGGGGUGUCCAUUCUGCACAAGGACAUCGCCUAAUGUAUAAUUAGACGCAUCAACGUGAGCUUCAACAGGUUGAGUCACAUCCAUGGACUCAAGAGUUGACCCUUCCUUUAGGGCAUGCUUCAAGAUACGGUUGUCAACACACAACCGUAAUUUUCCAUUCUCUUCUUACCCUAAAAAGACGGGCUUCAUACAGAGCUUUUGCAGAUGUAAGGAAUCCUACACUUAACAAUUCCUACGACUAUCUUCGAAUUUCAGUUAACUUCGACGACACCAUACGACCAACAAUCUUCGUAGGUGAUUUUGACUUGGGCAAACUAGCAAGCAUCCCAUCCUCCGACUUCUACCACCGUUAUAAAAUUGUGGGUUGUACUCGAGUCAACCAUAGUGCUCUUUGCGUUCUUCCGGUUGACCUAGGUGUCAACAUAUAUUAAACUCCUUUCGCACAUUUACUUGUCUCCUCUAGUUUCUCCUAAAGAGACGACAAGAAUCUCAUGGUCCCCCACUCUAGGAUUCUCAACUUCGUCCACUUGACCAACUUCCUUCAUUGAUUGACUCAACUUGUCAUCUGAUUCUGAAGCUAAAAAGGCAUGAAGGACAUAGAAGGCCAAUUUAUUUGAACAUUCCUUAGCCCGAUGUGACCCAUCACACAUGUAGUAACUAAAAGGUCGAUUUGAUGUGCUAAAACCAUUGUAUCUUUGCUAGGUGUUACCUGUGUUGGGUUGGGAAGGCUUGCGGUCUCUAUCGAGACUUCUGUCUUCACAGACAACUUUGGGAGAAUUCGGUCGGCUAUUUCUAUCUCUUCUAGGUGAAGAGCUUUGAUGACGUCUCGUAUCUUAAGAGUCACUAGACAGAUUGAACAAACGUUCAGCUACUGCAUAAGUUGAUGUGAGGUCUUGAACUCUCUGCUUAUAUAGCUUAGCCUUUUCCCACGACUUCAGCCCUUCAACAAAACUAAAGAUUUUUUCCUUUUCAGACAUAUCACAUAUAUCUAACAUCAGCCCUAAGAAUUGUUUCACAUACUCCCGAAUGGUGCCACUAUGUUUUAAUUCACACAGUUUUUGUCGAGCCAGAAUUUUGGCAUUCUCGAAAAAAAACUACGAGCGAACUUCUUUCUUUAAGUUGUUCCAAGUGUCUAUUGUGCAACGUUCUUCCUGAACUUCACAUACCAGAACCUCCACCAUAACUUUGCAUCUUUAGACAGAUGCAUGGUCCCCAAUGUCACUUUGGCUUCUUUUGAAAUAGUAUUUGUGGGCCUUGAAGUACUGUUCGAUAUCAAAGACAAAAUUUUCUAAACCUUUGCAUCUCUUACCUCACAGAAGGGCUUGGGUGCAUGGAUUUUUAUUCUACAUCAACUAGAAUUGCCCCUCCAACCAGAGCUUGGUUUGCCAACACUCGCAUUGUAAGGUUCACCUUCGUGUUCACCUCUGUGAUUUUCUUCCUAACAACAUCGAGGGUAGCUAAAAAAUCCUCUGUCAUGUUGUUUAUCAUUUCCAACAUAUUCUUGUGUGAGUUAUCUAGCUCAAUAACUCGUAAUUCCAUAUGGAUAGUAGAGCCCGACGAACUGUCCCCACACUCGUAGGUGACAUUUCCCAUUUUUACAAUUUGUGACUCUAGAGUGUCAACUCUAAUCAAUAAUUCUUAUAUGGGUAAUCUGUCAAGACGAUCGGACACUGCAUCAAUAGGAUCAACUUUAUUGGAAACUUCCUCAAGCCAAUUUUUAAGAAAUCAGAUGGAAUCGGAAACUUCGACCAUGUGGAGCAUCUACUCUUCAAGCCCCACUAAUCGUUCAUCAUGGGUCAUACCCGUGUGUUUCGCAGUCUACAUCUUUCUGUCUUAACUGUCAAUUAGCCAAUUUGGCUCUAAUACCAUUUGUCACAAUUGUAGCCUUUCAACCUCGGGACGGACGACUGUGCAGCCUUGUUCAAACUCGAUGAGCAAGUCAACCAAUCGAAAUCCAAAAAUCGCAAACAAACUUGGAUAUGAAUCAACCUCCCAUCACGUUCUUGAGAAAAUGUUUUAGAAAACGUGAGAGAGAAAGAAAUUCAUUGAAAUCGACAUUACAAUAGACAUCGACGACUGUCAGUUGCAAGGGAAAAGGUUUCCUUGCAAAGUGUGCGACAAUGCUUGGGCGGGGAUUCAACUAGUAUGCUUCCUCUAUAGUACUUUUGAAUAUUUUUAGCUCUGGUAGGUUUGCAAAAAGAUAAGAUAAAUUGAGGGUAUUCAAGAAUAAAGAUAAGAAAAUGUUGAGACGUCACAACCAAGCUUUAUGACUUAAAAUGGAAAGCAACUAGCUAAACUAAAUACAAGACAUAAAGAUAAGAUAAAUUGGGGGUAUUCGGGCAUACAGCCAUAGGCAAACACGCCCUGGACAAGUAUGACCGUGUCAUUUUGUGCACAGGUUCAAAAUCAAGCCCACAUACAUUUAGUUUCGAGUAUAAGAUUUGGAAAUUUGGAUUUUAUGAUUCCUGUGUUUGGGGUGCUGAUUUUGAAUUUCUGAAUUUAGUUAAUUUGUUUAGUUUUUUUUAUUAAUUGUAUGCCCUAAAUUUAUUUUAUAUCAAAAUUUAAUUGAUUUUUUAAAUAUUUUGUACCUCUCAUUCAAUUUCUUGACUCUAUUGAUUUUAAUGAUAAUAAUAUAAAAACAGGAAAUUUUGAUAUUUGAUAGCAAUAAAUUUGAUUAUAGUUGUAUUAACAUGAAUGGUCUAAGUAGGAAUAUUACAAACCACUCAAUUUUUCUUUUUAAAUCAUGUAAUCGGAUGGAGUUUAUGAAAGUUCUAGUUAAGCAACAUUAAAAAUGGUCUAAUAGGUUUCAAAAUAAGCAUAACCAAAAGGGUAAUGCAAAAGGGAAAGUCAAGUAGAGUUACAUUUAGUCAUACUUACGGUUGUCUUUCUAUGACACUCAUGCAAUGUAUUUUAAACCACUUUUAUCUAUAGAGGUCUAAAUAAAAAUGAAUCUUUUUUAAAAAACACUUUUUCUCAAGUCUUCUAGUUAAAUUGACAAACAAAAAAAUGAAAAAUGUUAUUAAACUAAAAAUGAACUAUGACGUAUAUGUGAUAUAUAAUUACAAUUUCCACUAUAUUACCAAUAUAUUAAUAUUUAAUUGAUACUCGAGAUCACAAUAGAUAGGUCAUCAAUUUUCACCUUAAAAAAAUAUAACAAAAUCUCAUAAAAUGAAGGAAAUAUUAUUUUUAAAUAAAAAAAUAGGAAAGAGAUUAUUAUAAAAAAUGAUCUAACAAUAAUAGUUAUAAAAUAAACUCCAUAAGAAAAGAAAAUAGAAGAAUGAAAACAAUGCAUAUUUUAAAAAUAGUAUUGUGAUUAAAGCAAAUGCGUAUAUGGAAUGACUAAAACAAAAUUAAAAAAUUUAUUUUUUAUUAACUUUCAAGGUUUGUAACAGUUGUAAAAGUGGUGGUUGAAAGUUCGUCGACCGAGUUUGUUAGAAAUGACACCUAGUGGUCAACUAACAAUGGUCACUAGGGGUGAUGUUUGGAGUUGAUCUAUGAAUUUUCUAGAUUGAAUUUAAAAAAAAAAAUAUGUAGUCUUACAUGGAGCGUUAGACAUGAAAACUUUCAUGAAAUUUUUUGUUAUAUUGGAUGAGCCGGUUAGUAAAUGGAGUGUUCCUUAACUUGAUUGGUCCGACUUAGAAGAUAGGUGAGUGCAAUACCCAGGUCGGUGAGGCCUAACCUGGUGAGUCAUAGAGCCAAGGAGCUAAGUCAGAGGAAGAGUAGUCCUAAAUGUGGUUUGCUAAGAGAAGUAGUUAGGCAACCUAGAUGAGGAGGAAGUGCCACCUCUAGGUACCCUCUACAAGGAGUAGCUUGGUGGCGAAAAGCAAGAAAGAAGACUCCAGAGGAUGUCCUUGAGAUGGACUAUUGAUGACCAGGGAAAAAAAGGCUGAGAUUGGAGUCUUCUAACUGCAAAAAAACCUUGGUGCAAGGAGAGGCAUCUUGGUGGAAAGAAGAAGAACGUAAGAAGACUAGAGAUGGUUUAUUUUUAUGUAAAACAAAGUAAUUUGUAAUUUGUACUUAUGUAAGCAUUAAGUUAAUAAAUGAGAAAGUUUAAGUAUUACACUGUGUAAAUUUCUUGAGGUGAUGGUCUCUAAGCUUCAAGUGGAAGAGCUUCGCGAAGAGACGAAAGAAAAGAGUUGUUCCGCUUACUAGACAUUUAAAACGUUGUCUUGCGAGAGGUGUGCAUUGAAUGUCUAGGUGGCACGCCCUCCAUUUGGUCGUGGGAUGCAACAUUUGGGGUAGGGCGUGACAAACAAUUUAUCUUAAAAUUUUGCUUUUAGUUGCUAUACCAUAAAUCUCUGUGUAUCUACGCGACGAAAAUUUAGGCACCAGUAGUGGUCUAUCUCGUUAUAGCUAUUAUGAGAUGGAAAAUCUAGGUAUUCGUAGAAUCCCUUAUCUCUAAAGUAGUACCAUUGAUUGAAAAUCUAGGUAUCUAUUGAAUACCCUCGUCAAAUGACCUCUAUGCAUAGGAAAAUCCCCCGAAAGGUUGCUAUAUAUCUUAGAACAACUUGGAUAUACACUAAAACAUGCUAAAAUAUUUCAUGUUGCAAAAUGAUAAUAUUAAACUUAAUAACAUGUUUAUAAGUCAUUCUUAAAUCAAGCUUUGCUCAAUCAUUCAGUAAACCCAAGUGCUUACUCAAAUAUGCUAUCAGCUUUCUAAUACUUUAAACACAUGCUUUGUAAAUUCAAGUAUAAUAAAUAAGUAACGUUCAACAUUUAUCACAAACAAUGUAAAAACAUGUUUGGAAAUCAAUUUAGAAUUUCAUUUUCACACUCAUAACCUAUUGUUCAUGUAACUUGAAACCAUGCUCGAAUAAUAGCUUUUAAAACAAAGUGUUACCCACAAAUGGUACCUUUGGCUUGUAAAUUUGUCAAAUUUCUUCUUCUCCUUGAAAUAGUAACAUUUAAACUUAAAUUAAUCAUUUAUCCUUAGAAAAACCCAACAUGUUCUAAAAAUUAGCAAAAGCACUCAAAAUGGCCUAAAAAUGCCCAUUUUGGCAUGUUGCCAUGCAAAGCAGAGUGGCAAGGGCUUGGCAAGCGCUUAGGGCUUGGGUAGGCCUUGCAGCAUGCUAACCUCCCAUGCAGCAUUUCGCACGUCUCGCGUAGUGUGUGCGUCUUGAGUAAAGGGUAGGCCACAUGGUACAAGCAUGUGCUUCAUAUCGUUUGGUUGUGCACUUUCUAUGCCUUGUGCUUUUAAGAACCAACACUAACCUCUUUUGACCUAAAACGUACCCUCAGCUUGCCAUGCUCUUUCUAACCUUGAGCCUAACUUCAACCUUGCCCAAAAUUUCCUUUCUCGGCUAAAACCUAAGUCCCACUUUGGAGGUUAAUAUCUUAUAAUCCAUAACUCAAAUAAGAAAACUUCCUACUAUAAAGUUGUUUAAAAUUGGCAUAAUUUGCUUACCUCCAAAGGUCAACCAAAAAGUUCAAGAAAUUCAUUAUGUAGCCCUCUUGAAGUCAAGACUGCUCACUUUCUCUCUAAGAAUGACCUUUCCUCCUUUCUUUAAUUCAAACCUUAACUUCCUCACUUCAGAAUUGACUGACAGUCCUAAUUUGUAAACUAGGCUUAAUUUAAAAACUUUUAAAAGUAAUUUGAGCCAAAACACAUGAGUAGAAUGAGAGAAAUACUCUUAUGAAGUGACCUAUUUAUAUUGGGUCUUGCAUGAGAAUUCCUUAACACCUCCGGCUUGCUGCAAUUUAGCUCUUGCAUGUAAAUGACACCUGGAAUCCAGUUAAUCGAUUGUCCUAGGUCAGCCACCAACCUUACUUCCAUUCCUAAUCCUUAAGAAAAAAGCCCAAAACUUAAAACGCCUUGAUAACCUCUUUUGACAGAGCUACAAGCUCUAUCUUGCAUGUCAACAUCCUUGCUCAGCCUCUUGGUUGCCUAGUCUCUUGGCCUACUAACCUCUUAAAAUAUCAUCUCGCCUAGUACAUGACCAAUCUCCUCGCAUAGCUAACAACAAGUCUUCUCGCCUAGCACCAUCAAGCCUCCUCACCAAGCUUCCUAUGCCUUAAAGGUUGUUUCGCUUCUCAACAACUCUGGGCCACAAAACACUCCACAUUACUUUGGCUAUCUAAUGCUUGCCCUUGAUAGUUAGCCAUUUUUCCAAAUUUUCUUCCUUUUUUCCAAAUUUUCUUCCUUCCUUAACCACUUUACCCUUAAAGAAACUCAAGGGUUCUUUAACCUAGAGUUUACAUGCUUGAACUCGAUCAAUAUAGCAGAGUCAGAUUGAUAUUAUAAUGCCUAAACUUGGUGAUAGCUGGCUAGGUGGUCAACAAAGCCCCAUACCUAAUGAUACUCUGUGCACAUUGACCCUAAAUAACUUGGUGUAUAGAAUGAACAUUGUUUAGAACUCUAUUUUUACUUAAAUCUUAUUUAAACUAGUAACUCAAAUCUCUUUUAGAAAUAACGGUAAAAAAUAACUAUUCUUAAAGCAUAGCGUUCAUAUCUUGUGUUUGAAAUAAACACAUGGUUACUUAUAAAUCUCUUUCAGAAUUCAUUCUCAUAAAUCAUGCUUGGAAAUAGUCUAUAAAUCAUGUUUUCACACACUCAUGCUUUUAAACAUUUAUAUUGAAAUUCAUGCUUACUAAACAUCUGUAAAAUCAGUAAGGAAUUAUCAUUUCAUAAUUCUAAAACAUGCUUGGAAAAACAUUUAUCUUUAAAGUCAAAUUUAUAAAUAAGUAUUAAAAAACAUUUGCCACUUACAAAAGGUUGUCACACCCCCUCACGUAGCCCUUCCCUAAACUCCUAACCUAACUCCGAAAGCGAGUGUGAUGGUUGACAAGUAUUGCUAUAUCUUGACAACACUCACCAACCAACUAACCUACCUAACUCAACUAGUAGUCACAAGACAAAUGCAUGCUUUAAAGAAACAAACAACACAAGCUAAAUGUUUUGGUAUCAACUUGUGUCAUGAUCCACCUCAAAAUCACUUCAUGUGAUCCAGUAGACAUUCAAUGCGUAUCAUUUUGCGUGAUAGCACAUUGAAUGCCUUGCAAACAAAAAAAAAACUUUUUAAACUAAUCUCAAUGCAAAGCUUUAACAUAAACUCAAGAGACUUAUGCAACAGAAUGCAGUAGAAAAAUGACAAAAGAACAUCUUUUUAUUCCUUAACAACUAACAAUUAGAUACAAUUGUCACGUGGUUACUUUUUCAAAGUAACAAAUGUGUGCAAAAUGGUGUUCUUAGGCAUUAUAGAAGAACCAAAGUAAGUCUUCUUAGAGGUUAAAUAUUUGCUAGAAUUUUAAAGGACUUAAGAGAAGGAAAACUAGUAGGCAAAGACUACAAAGACUUUGAGAGAAUGAGUACAAGGGCUUUAUCUAUGAUUUCCCAAUGAUGAUUACAAAUGGAAUCCCUUUAGGGUAUUUAUACAAGAGGCACACUGACUUAUGACACUUAAACCACCAUAGUAGGUCGAUUAAAAUACAUAUAGAGCUUUCUCGAGCAUCCAUGACGCUUCUAACUGACAUCAAAGGUUUCUUAACUAUCAUAGAAGGUUUUGAACACGUCUAACUGUGUUUGGUGCCACAAAGGAUCUUUUGUCUUCCAUCUCUUAGUGUGCAUUUCGCUCAUUGCUUAGCCUUUCGUAUAUCAUCAAAUCUAUUAGAAAGUUUGAAGGACGUCACAGAUCUUCUAGGCGAGCGCCAUCAAGGCACGUGCGCUUGCCGUCAUGCGAGCAUCCAUCUCCAUCUCUGUCACGAGCGACCUUGUUAUGCUAGAGCCAUAUGCAUGUGGCUGGGUCAUGUGCAUGGUUGUGUGAUAACUUGUAGAAAUACAAGUUAUUGUAGCCUUUUGAGUAAACCAAAGGUGCAUGAUGGCUAUCUUCUUAGACUUCUUGGAGAGAUUGGUUGAGAUAUUUAUGGAUGACAUCUUAGUAUUUGGGGAUUCUUUCAAGGAAUGUCUAAACAGUCCAAAGGAAGUAUUGGAGAAGUGUGAAGAGACAUGGCUCGUAUUGAACUGAGAGAAGUGUCACUUCAUGGUCAAAGAAGGAAUUGUACUAGGCACAAUAUCUCUAACGUGGGACUAAAAGUGGACCCUGCAAAGAUCGAUGUAUGGUUAGCAAGUUACCACCUCCUUGUGAUGUCAAACCAUUUUGAUGAAAAAUGUAACCAUUCAUUUCAAGCCUUAAAAGACACAUUGACUUUAGCGCCUAUCCUUAUCACACCCAAGUGGUCAUAACCAUUUGAACUCAUAUGUGAUGCGAGUGAUGUAGCCAUGGAGGCCAUGCUAGGUCAAAAGAAGAACAAGGUGAUCCGUCUAAUCUAUUACGCAAGCCAAACCCUUAAUGACACCCAAAAAAAUUAUACUACCAUUGAGAAGGAAUUGCUCACAGUAGUAUUCGCAGUAGAAAAAUUUAAGAGCUACAUUGUGGGCUCUAAAGUUACGUUGCACAUCGAUCAUUCUUCGAUUAAAUAUCUCAUGAUGAAGAAGGACGUCAAGUCGCUGUUAAUAAGAUGGGUUUUAUUGAUUUAAGAAUUUGAUUUGGAGAUCAUAGACCGCAAUGGCACCGAAAACCAGGUGGUAGAUCAUCUAUCGUGUCUUAAGAAUGAAGAGUUCCAACGAGAGAAGAUAAAUUUUGAAGAAAGACUCCGCUCUUCCGCAUUGAGAUAAAGGAACCCUGGUACGCAGAUAUAGUUAACUAUCUCGUUUGUAAAACAUGGACGCAAGACUUUAACAGCCCGUAGAGAAAAAUGUUAUUUCAUGAGUAUUAUUUUUAUAAGUGGGAUGAGCCCUUCCUUUAUAAAUUGGGACCAAAUCAAAUAUUAAGGCAUUGUGUCCCUGAAUAUGAAACAAUUGACAUAUUGGCCAAGUGUCAUGAAGCACCCUAUGGAGGGCACUUUAGUGGACAAAGGAUAGCUGCAAAAGUCUUGCAGAGCGGGUACUUCUAACCCAUUCUUUUUUAGGAUGCGAGGAGCUUUUGUGGUCAAAUGUGAUCAGUGUUAGAGAACAGGGAAUAUGACUCGAUGUAAUAAAAGGCCCCAACAACCCAUCUUAGAAAUUGAACUAUUUGAUGUGUGGGGAAUUGACUUUAUGUGACAUUUUCCUCAAUCUGGAAACCAUGUGUACACCUUGUUAAUUGUAGACUAUGUAUCGAAAUGGGUUGAAGCAAUAUCCUGUGCCAAGAAUGAUGCGAUUAUUGUUAGCAACUUACUGACAAAGAACAUCUUCACGCGAUUUGAGACCCCUUGAGCUAAUAUUAGCGAUAAAGGAUCACAUUUCCUUAAUCACAUCAUAACCAAACUGCUAGCGUAGUACAAUAUAACCCAUAAAAUAAUCACCGCCUACCAUCCUCAAACAAAUGGAUAGGCAAAAGUGUCCAACAGAGAAUUUAAAAACAUCUUGGAAAAAGUGGUAAAUCACUCCCGAAAGGAUUGGGUGAAUCACAUAGAUUUUGCAUUAUGGGCAUAUCGCACAACAUACAAGACACUGAUUGGAAUGUCCCCUUACAUGAUAGUCUUUGGGAAAGCAUGCCACUUACUGCUUAAGUUGGAACAUAUGACGUUUUGGGCAUGCAAAAAGUUAAACUUUGAUCAACACGCCGCAUGAGAAGCAAGAUUACUUUAAUUGCAUGAGCUUCAAGAGUGGUGUUCUUAAGCCUAUGAGAAUGCCAAAAUUUACAAGGAAAGGACAAAGGCAUGACAUGAUAACCUCAUCCAUAAACAUGAAUUUAACAUUGGUUAGAAAGUAUUAUUAUUUAAUUCACGUUUGCAUUUGUUUUCGAGUAAGCCCCUUUAACGUUGGUGUGGUCCAUUUUUGGUCAAGUAAGUCUUUCCAUAUGGUGUAGUGGAGAUCACAUAAUCAGAUGGAACAAUUGCGUUUAAGGUAAACGGACAAAGGCUCAAUGCGUACAUCCUUAUCGCUUUAUUUUUAUUUCUUCUUCUUGCUUAGUUGUUUAUUUUCUUAUUUCGAUUGAAUUGUUUUUCAUAUUCUCUAUAGCUUUACAAACUUCUUUUAAUCGCAUCUUUUAUGUAUUGCUCUCUAUACCACAUGUUUCUAUCGCUUUAUAACCUUAGGAUGGUUAGAAGUCUUUUGUGCUUUUGAAAAAUCAUUGGACAACAUACCGUUAUUCGAGAAAUCCAAGGACAAUAACGCGAUGGAAAACGAGGUGGCAUGCUUUGAAAUUUUGAAAUUUUAAUAGCCUAGGAAAUUGUGCUUUGCGUGAGAAAAGCGAGAUGUUUUCAUCAAACGAUCACUCAGGGCUUUGAAGAGACACGUUGACCCGUGCCAGAUGCAAUUAAUGACGUACUAUUACCCCUUACCAGAUAUAUAUCUGAAGCGCUUCCUUUUACAUUUUUCCUUACAAUUUAUCACGCUUAGGAUUUUUCAUUUUUAAACCCUUGCCGAAAAUUUCUUCAUCUCAAUUUUCUCUUUAUCUGUCCAUUUCCAAUGGCCGACAAGCACUAGACAGCCUCUGAAAUCACCCAAAUUACUAAAAGCCCUUAGUAGACAGACGUUUCGUUCUCACCAAAACCACUCAAACACCCAAAAGUCUAAAAAACCGCCAAAACUUCUUCUCAGAAAUCUAGACAUGAGGAGUCUAGGAAAAACAUAAUCUUCAAGCUACACACCCACCCCUCAACCCAAAAUCAAACCCACUUCGUUAGACCUAGUUUGCCUAACAUCCACCAGCAACUCCAUUACAUAAGCUGAAGGUGGGAUGAGGCGAGAAGAAAAUAUAUAUUCAAAAUUAUCGAAUUUGGGAACAGGGAUGGAAGCCAUAAAUCUGGAGGACAGAUGACUCCAUUACAAACACUUAAAAACAGGGCUGGAAAAGUACUUUUGGGGCAUAAGGAACCAAGCACAGAGAUAAAUCUACACAUUCCUUCUCAAUUCUCAGGACUAGUUAUGAAACUCGUAGAAAAAUUACAAGUCGCUGAGAACACGAAGAGGGAAGUGGAAGAGAAGAAUAUGGAAGAUGCAGAAAGAAUUAGAAAGAAGAAAGAGGAAGAAAGAGCCCUCUGCGAGGAAAGAGCAAGAAAAGAAGAGGAAAGAAUAAAAGAAGAUGAAGAAAGAAGAAAUAGAGAAGGCUUGCAUAAAGCACAAACGAUGAAGAAAAAGAAGGAAUAAGAAGAAGCAGACAGAAGACAACGAGAAGUUGUCCACGAAGAGGAUGAACGUCUUCACAAGAUGUCUAAGGAGAAAAAGCAAAGUGUGCCUUCUUGGCGGAAGCAAAAAGCAAAUUGACAUAGAUAUAGACUGCUAACAAAAAGAAACAGGAAAAGCUCGUGAAACUGGGUGAGUAAGUAGAAAGAUUGGCCAUAAAAAAUAAGGUGGUAAAGCAGCAAGUGAUGGAUCACAUGGAUAUAGUGGCAGAGGAACUCAUAAGAGAGUUAGGAAGUAUGAGCCCCACGAAGACAAAGUUGGGACCAGAAGAUCUAGGGCUCAUCAAUGCCAAAAAAUCGAAAAAGGGUAAAAGCAAGGCAGAGACUUCUAAACGGGAGAAUAUUCAAAAUAGGAAGAAACUGAACGCCCAAAAAAUGGAUAAAUUAAUAAUAGUUGAAAAGGGUUGUUCCCUUUCAGCGAGUCCCUACCAGACUUUCUCUAUGUGCCAAUAAAAAUGUUGAAUUGGGAAAAAAUCUUUGUUGGCGAGACCAAAGUCCAAUUAGACCUGGUCAACAUGUUUUAUGCGGUGAAAUUCCAUCCUGAGGAGUCAUAUGCAAUAGUGGAAGGGGAAAAAGUUAUGUUCACUAUCGAAGCAAUAAACGAGUUAUAUGAUUUACCUCAAGACCAUGAUGCUUACCCUAGCUAAAGGAUUUUUGAUCGACUGACAAAAGGUGAUGCAACAAAAGUGAUAACAGUGAUCACGUGGCCAGGGGUAGUCUGGACGUUGAUACCAAUUGAGAGGCUUCGUCUUUUCUCACAUCACUUGAUAACUGUAGCUAACGUCUGACAGUUUUCCAUUAAAAAAGAGUUCUCCCAACUUGCCAUGGCAAUAUAGUUUCUAUUGAAUACGCAUUGUUGUUGUACUGCAUUAUGACAAAACAAGCGUUUAAUCUAGGGCAUGUCAUGAAUAGGGCCUUCCUUGGUUGGCUGACACAACCCAAAGGUGCCAAGCCAUUCCCAUCCACGAUAGAAAAAUGGCAGGAGGCAAGUACAACUUGGCGAGCCUUAACCGUAUCAUUAAUGUUCAUCAGAACAAAGAAGAAGAUCACCGCCUAUAAACUCAACUAGAAAGAAUAGACGAGGAUAAUGAAAAUGAGGAAUCUCCACCAUCUUCGUCGCUUAAAAAGAGACUACUAGCAAAAAGGACAGAAAUAGUCUUACAUGAUGAGGAUUAAGCCAACAAGAAACCCUUGCGAGAGAGGUGAAGAAAGUUAAAAGUCAAAAGGAUCCUUGUUGAAGAUUCCUUUACUUAUUCGCUCCUCAGUGAUCUUUCCCUACAUGCGCCCUCUUCGUCUGAUAGAUUUGAUGAAAUUGACCCAUUUCAAUCUCAUUAAAAUAUUAAAGGUAGCCCUCCCCCACUUCUCACUGAAGAAAUAGUUAACCCACCUCUACCAACUGAACCGUUUCUGCUUACAUCUCUCAAAUCUCCCAGUCGUCGAAGUCCUUGCCUGACUGUCACCUCCAAAGUCCAUCUCUCUCAUCCUUCACCAACGAUGGGCUCCUCACUUGAUAAUACACCAUCUCCAACCCUUUCCCAUCACAGCCAGCCAUUUUCCCCACAUUCUUGACUCCCCAAGGCUCCUCAUCACGACGAGUAUCUGUCGCCUGGUCACACACCUAUUAAUCCAAACCUACCCGGUACCAAUCUGGAUUCUAUACACAUUAAUCUGAAUGUUCCAGUGGUCAUGUUAACUGGCGAGAGUAUUUACACUGAAGAUGAAGAGGUGAUGGACCCGACAUUUCCUCAGGUAGUUUAUGACCCACUCUUCCAAACUACACUUGAUGUAGAAGAUGCAUGCAAGACACAAUCAAACAAUGCAUCAAUCAUGGAGGAGGAAGUACAAAUCAAAUACGAAUGCCAAGAGAAACACGAAAACAUUGAACCCGCUACAAAAAACCACAAUAGUUUUCAUGAUAUACCUCAUAAUGUCAUUAUGAAACCCAUGCAUGCAACAUUUCAAGAGUUACUUUAAGAGAAUGUGGUGAUGAAGAAUCAAAUCACAAACCUCAACACUCUGGUGCAAGGAUUAGAAGCCACAACCUCAACUCUAACCUCCAUGGUAACGUAACUCUCCUAUGCUCUCACUAAUCUAACUAAUUUGAUGAUUGCACACUCGACCUAAUCGUGCAACAAUGUGGAAAGGCAAGAUAGGCAAGUCGUAGCUCAAAUGGAAUAUACACAUGUUGUGUUUAACUAGUGUGUACCGCAACCUAUUAUUGCUCCAAAAUUGAUCGCACCAUUCCCUCCCAUUCAAAUUCAUGGUGCGACUCUAGAUGAUGCCAAACCAAAUCCUCGCCUAGAGGACUAAAUUUAAGGGUGAUUUUUUUGAAUCUUUUGCAUUAUAGUAUUAAUAUUUCAGACUAGUUCUUUUAAAUAUAUGUUACUCAUACAAUUUAAUGAAAUUGUUAUUUUCUCUCUAUGGUAUUGUUACUUAUGCGGUAGACUAAUCUCGACGCAUGCCUCAUUUAUCAAUUCUUUGCUUGCUUUCCUGUGUUCUGCGUCAAGAUAACCUUCAUGAGGAAAAUUAUUCUAAGACUAAUGAUCUAGUACCUAGAACUGAAACUUUCCCUAGCGAAAUACACUUUGUAAAUAGUUUUUUUAGUCUUUAGGUAAGCAAGCUUUACCUCAAACCUCUUUUGUAAAUUUUUCAAGGUUCAUCUUAUCAUUCACUUUUUUGCAAUGAGGACCUUGCACCAGUCUUAACUUGGGGGGGUGUGCGAGGUCCGAGUCAAAGCCUUUAAAAAAUCAAGGAACCCAUUCCUUUUUGUAAAAAAAAAAAAAAAACUAACAAAACUAACCCAUUUGUUGUUCCUAAACGCAACCAAAACAAGAACUCCUAUGUUGUCGCCUCUCACACAAGUAAAUAAGAAGCAAAGCUUCAUCAAAAGCUGAGAGUAAAUAAAUAAGUGGCCAUAAAAGUUAUAGUUGAGGAGAGGAAUGGACUCAUUGAGUUGCUAAGAUUUCUCACUCAACACUAAAUUUAAAUAAGUAAAAUAUUUGUCACACAAUAUAAGAAAAGAAAGGAACAAAUAAUUUUUUAAAACGAAGACCAUUUCGCAAAAAGAGAAAAUAAGAUUUUCUGAAAAUAAACAAGGAUAUUUUGGGAAUUAAGCUUGCCGCAUAGAGAAUCUAGAAAUAUUUUCAAAUUUAGAGUAGGUGAAGAAAAGAACAAAUGUCAGUGUACGUUGGAAUUAGAAAAGGAUUCUGAAAGGUUUAGCGAUGAGCAUAGAAGAAAUCAGGAACAAAAUUCUGAGAUGAUGCUUGAGGACAAACAUUAUUUUAAAUUUGGGGUGUGAUAACUUGUAGAAAUACAAGUUAUUGUAGCAUUUUGAGUAAAUUAACGAGGUCUCAUCGCAUGGAAAGAGAAGAAAAUAGAGAAAAAGGUAAACAAUUUGGUUAUCUUAUUAAUCACAUAAUAGCUCAGUGAGAACAUGUUUAAGUGAGAGGUCUAACACAAUCUUCAAGGAAAUAGAAGUACGUGCUAUGUAAUUAAGGCAAUAGCAGAAAACAUCGGUUGGCGAGAAAUUCAGAGAAAGGACAAAGGAUGCCUAAGCAGCGCCGGAUACAGCUUUUCAGAGGUUUCAAUAGCAGGUGGUGGCCUGUCAACAUCAGUCCUCGUAUAUAUAAAGUGUCUCACUACUCAAUCAAUGUGCAAAUUUUGGUUGGAAAAGCAAGUUUUUUUUUUCACCAAUUUAUCUCCCUCCUUUUAGUAUUAAGUGGAAGCUUGCAACAAAGGAGAGAGAGAUCCAUCUCUUCCAUUGUUCCCCACAUAUAUAGGCAAAACUCGGAGCCAAAGAGUACGCGAGAUCGCACUCUGUGGUGUAACUCAUCUGUUGUCUGUUCAUUUUGUACUUUUAUAUUGUAUUGUUUCGUAAACUAAACUUCAUGGAUGAAAAGUUUACCAUAUUUUCUAUGAAAGCAAUGCAUUUCUUCUUCCACUCUCCCAUAUUUCUUGUCCAUCCAUAUCUACAUAGUUGGUUGACUGAAUAGUAAUAGUUGAUGUUUGUGAUAUUCUGAGAAUCAUAAUGAGUGCAGCAAGAGUUCUGCUCCGCUAAGUGUGAGUAUCUCAACCUCGUUCCUUCGAAAGAAGGGCUUGAGUGGAGAUCGUAAUCACUAAAUAAGUGAAAACCACUUUUAGCAGAAUAGGUGGCAGGGAGAAUACAGCUGAGCAUUCUUGUCACCAAGUUCAUACUUUGCAUACAACACUGAAAGAUUGGUGUGCGUGUUGAAAGUCACCUUGGCCUCUUCAGUAACUAUAUUCCUGGCUUUGAAAUAUACUGUUCAAUAUCGAUAAUAAAGUUUUCCAACGCCUUUGCAUCCCUCUCCCCAUAGAAGGGCUUGGGUUCAAGAUUCUUGAUUCUGCCAACAGAGAUGGCUCCUUCAGCUGGAGCCUGGUUUGCUAAUGCUCGCAUAGUAAGGUUCACCCUCGUGUUCACCUUUGUGAUCUCAUUUCUCACGACAUCGAGGGUUGCUCAAAAAUCCUCUGCCAUGUCGUUUAUCAUCUCCAACAUAUUCUUUUGCGAGUUAUCGAGCUCCAUAACUCGUUCUUCCAUUUGGGCGAUAGAGCCCGAUGAACUGUUCCCAUGCUCGUAGGUGACGUUUCCCGUUGUCACAAUUCGGGAUUCCAGAGUGUCAACUCUAGUAAGCAAUUCCUGUAUGGGUAAUCCGUCGAGAUGACCGGACACCACUUCAAUGCCAUCGGUUUUCUUGGCAACAUCCUCAAGUCGCUUUUCUAAAAAUCGGAUGGAAUUAGGAACUUCCACCAGGUAGAUUCCCACAAGUUGUUCAAUAUGGGUCCUGCUAGACUGUUUCGCCAUUGAUAUCUUUAUGUCUCAAACUGUCAACUAGCCAACUUGGCUCUGAUACCACUUGUCACAAUCACAACAUUUCAAACACGAGACAAGCGACUGUGCGACACUUGUUCGAUCCUCUCAACAAGUCAGCCGAUCAAAAUUCAAAAAUUGCGGACAAACUCAACGUACGAUUCACCCUCCAUCUACUUUUUUGAAAAAAUGUUUUAGAAAACGUGAGAGAGAAAUAAAUUCAUUGAAAUCGUUAUUAAAACAAGCUUUGAAGACUGUUAAUUGCAAUAAGAAAACAUAGAUUGCAAAGAGUAUGACAAAGCUUAGGCGGGGAUUCAACAUGUAUGUCUCUCCUAUAGUACAUUUUGAACAUUUUCAGCUCUGGUAGACUUGCAUAUGAAAAUGCUGAAACUUGAAAAUGAAGGCAACUAGCUAAACUAUGUACAAAACAUAAAGAUAAGAUAAAUUUGGGGUAUUCGAAACAUAUGACCAUAGGUAAACACAUCCUGGACAAGUAUGCCCGUUACACCUAGCACACUCUUUUCUCGCCCAAAUAACCUCUUUAGAGGGUAUUUUAACCUCUUUUGGCCGCUUACCAAGGCCAAAAUGCCUAGCCUAUGGACUCUGAUACAUAUAUGUUAUUUUAAAUUUGAGUAGCCCUUUGAUAGAUUUUUAUAUCUAUCUGAUGAUAGUCAUAUAAUAUAUCAACUUAGUUUGCAAUAACCUCUAAUACAUAUGCGUUAUUUUAAAUUUGGGUAGCCCUUUGAUAGUUUUUUAUAUCUGUCUGAUAGCACCAUGAUAUUUUUUUAUAUAUGUCUGAUAGCACUAUGAUAUAUCAAAUUAGUAUGUGAUGGAUACAUAUGUGUUGUUUUAAAUUUGGGAGCUCUCUAAUAGAUUUUUAAAUAUGUCUAAUAGUCGUAUGAUAUAUCUAAUUAGUUUGUGAUACAUCUUUGAUACAUAUAUGUUUCUAAGUUUGGGUAGCCCUCUGCUUUUUGAUUACUUCUACAAUACCAUCUUCUACUUUUUGACCACCAUGUAAUUACAAAAAAGUCUUCACAAGAAGAUAAGUCAUCUGAAUCAGUAGAACAUUAAUGACCAAAAUGAAAAGUAAAGCCAACACCCAAGGGCUAUUGCUUUGAAAACUGGAAAGAAACACAAAUCUCCCCAAAGAAAAGAAAAGUAAAGCCAACACUCAAAAUUGAAUACGAAAUCGUAAACGAAAAGAAGAAAGAAGAUGCUGAAAUCAAAAUCAUCGAACACAAAAAAAGAAGAAAAUAUUACGAAAUCAAAAUCCUCACAAGGUUUAUGAUACACACCUCAUUCUUUAUAUUAGAAUAUUAGUGACAAUUGAUCGAAACACUUAAAUUUAAAUGUGUUAUUUGAUUCCUUCAUCACCUACCGAUUAUUUGCACUAUUCAAGAAUAGAGAUACAGCAGCUACAAAUUGUAUCAAUUACAGGAUGAUCCGUCGAUUGAAUCACAAAGAGGGUAGCACCAACAUACCAGAUACAUAGUCAUGGAUGAAGUUGAUAAAACAAAAAUUCAAGUGUACUAAAUUUAGCAUAAAAAUUGAAAUUAGAAUGAAGUUGAAACUUAAAUUAGUGUAGAAGGAAAAAGCUGAAACAAAUAAAAUUGAAAUUAGAACCUUAUUUUUGUGGGAAUGAAGUCGAAGAAUAAAAAAAUCUUGGAGUAGAAAAAAUUGGUGAAAUAUUGAAGCGUUGGAUGCUUCGAAAUCUUGGAGUUAGAUGAGUCGAAAUCUUGGAGCUUGUCAAAAUCUUUGUCAAUGUUCUAGGGUUGAGAAACAAAGAAGAAAAAAAUUGGGGAAACAUAGCGAAGAAGAAUGAGGAGUGGCAGUGGCGGUCGUAGCAGUGGACCGAGGAGAAGAACGAGAAGUGGAGUUGGUGGAGACGUCGUACAUGAGUGAGGAAUUAAGAGUGGGGUUGGCCGGGUGAGACGACUGAGUGAGUGAAGAAGAUGAGAGAGAAUCUAAAUUUGGUUGUGGG
rnacentral:lncRNA from 1 species